UAUCCUUUGUAUUGGAUUUAAAUUUCUAAAAAUUUUAAUUUUCGUUAAAGUAUAUCAUAGUUCCUCGUAUAGAAAUAUUCUAGUGUUUAGUUACUACAUUUCUUUUUAUUUCAAUUUCCUUAUUGAUGCAACUAUGCGAAGUAUUUCACAACCUACUUGUCAAAUGCCUUCUCUUCCAAGUAUAAUCAGACAGUUAGUUUAAUGGUUCAGACUUUGGAAUUUAGAAGAAAUGUGUCAUGAAAUUUAUAGUGAAAAAACCCCGUCAUUUUCAUGAAAGCUUGUAUGCUCAUUGCUUUAAAUACUAUGUUAGAUUUAGAUAACAAAAGAUGCUAAUCUGGAAAGUUUACAAUAGUUUGAAUAUUUCUAUUCUUUGUUCACAAGUUUUGUGCUUUGACACCAUUAUGUUGUUUAUAUCAUCUUGCAAUUCUCAUAUAAUUUUGGUACUCUUUGGCAAGCAUUUAUUUUGGUUCACAUAAUUAGCUUUGAUGGUUUUAGCAUCAACUCUUGUUAUGCAGGUUGUUUGACCUCUUAAUCAAGUCCUUUGUUCUAUUGCUGGUCGAUAUUGUUCACAUGAAUGACAAUGAUAAUGUUAACUCCGACGAUUUUAAAAACACUAUACUAUUGAUGAGUUUGAGUUUUAGAACCUGGGAAAUCUAGAGGACAAUGGGAAACUAGGGCUACAAUUCUGAUGCAAACCUCUAAAAAUGCUCUUACUGUUAGAGUGGUCACAUUAUUUGCAAGUUGAACAAGAAAUCAGAGAAUUUUUGGCAGUUUAUUUAACUAGACAUGUUCUAGAAUAAGUUUUGUCCUAACAUCAUUCAUCCUAAGAUUUUUAGUCUGGUUUCUUUUUAUUAAAGUAAAUUUCUUGUUAACAAUUUUGGUAUUGUCUCUGCAGAACACAACGACAAAGGAAAAUGAAACCCUUUUAGCCAUCAUAACAGCUUAUGUACAGGGCGAGGAUGUUUACUAUACACUUUUGUUAACAAUGUUGACAGUUUUCAGAAUGUGGAAUUAUUAAGUAAAAUAGAAAGUCAAUUUUCAUUAACAAAAUAAAGCUUUACUUUCUGAACUUGGUGUAAUUUUUUUUUUUAGUUUUACUGUUUUUUUGUCUGACAGAUUUUCGAGGUUUACUUGAAAGAGUUAAAGGGUGUUGUGUCUGCCAUAGCUUCUCUCCAAGGUCAUUUGUUGGUUUCAUCUGGCCCUAAGAUCUCCUUGCACAAAUGGACUGGUACUGAGUUGAAUGUUAUCGCUUUCUAUGAUGCUCCUCUUUAUGUAAUGGAAUAGAAAACAUUGUCAAAAAUUUUAUCUAGUGGGAGAUAUUCACAAAAAGCAUCUAUUUUUAAAUUGGAAAGAGCAGGGUGCUCAGUUGAGCUUAUUAGCCAAGGAUUUGCUUCUCUUGAUUGUUAUGCAACUGAGUUUCUGAUAGAUGGAAGUACAUUGAGCCUUGUAGUUUCAGAUGAUAAAAAAAAUAUUCAGAUAUUCUAUAAUGCUCCAAUAACAUUAGGGUUGGAAAGGGCAAAAGCUUUUGUCUAGAGUUGAAUUUCAUGCUGGGGCCCAUGUGACAAAAUUCUUGAAGCUGUAGAUGCUCUCCAUCUCUUCUGAUCAAACCAAUAUAACUCCUGGUUAUGACAAGACCAACUGGUUCACCCUUCUAUUCAGGACACUAGAUGUGAGCAUUGGUUGUAUUGCACCAUUGGAUGAACCAUUCCGCAGACUUCAAACCCUGCAAAAAAAAAACUAGUAGAUGUUCCCCAUACAUGUGGCCUGAAUCCAAAAUCAUUUCAGUAGUUCCAUUCAAAUGGAAAGGCACAUCGUCCUAUCCAGAUAAUAUGGUUGAUUGUGAGCUUCUUUCCUAGUAAGGAUUCUUUUCUUCAUGCUUAUGAUGAGAAUAACUGGUAAAUUAGUUUCAAAGAUGUUAGGUAACUAUGGCUACUUUUUAUAUCAAAAUUAGUGCUGCUCAAAGUUCCUUUUUCCUGUGUUUUGAUGAUGGCUUGUUAAUCUAUAAUUUUUCAGGUAUAGAUUUAUUUGAUUGAUGUAUAGAUAAUAUUUUCUUUCAGAUCAGAUUUCUAUUCAAGUAACGUACAUGAUUAGGGUUGACAAAAAUCUCUUGAAACAUGUAGGAAAGCAAUUUUGUUACCCAAUUAUUCUUAUCAAAUUAAGUUUUAAGAGUAAAUGCUAUUUAUUACCCAUGAGAAAGCAAUUGCAGUGUAUAAUAUAUACAAGGAAAUAACAUUUUGAUGAGCCUUAUUUAGCAACACAGCUUGGAGAUUGGGAAAUAGGAUUAGGAAGGAGUUUGUGUUGUUUCUGAUUGGGUAGUGUUGAGUGCCCGAGUUACAUGCCAUGUUCUAUAGGCAGCAAACUGUUCCUUAUAGAAAUGAGUGGAUAAAAUUGUUGAUUUGGAGCUGCAAAUUAGCCAUAGAUUUGGUUUGGUGUGAUUCUUACUUGCCAUUCUAAAUGUUGUACAAUCUUUUCCCAUUUCUAGGUACGAAAUGUUGCCACUAGACAAAUGGAUUGUCACGACUCGUUCACAAAUUCUUUUAAAUUUAAGUGAUCUUUCACUUGGCACAAGUUUCUUGUGAUUGAAUGUGCAUUUUAAAUUAUUGAGAACUUCUCUUGCAUCAAUCUAAUGUAAUGAACUAACUUUUCCCAUGGGAUACUUUGCCCAGUGGCAUGCUAAAAGGAGGACAACUUAGUAUUCUAACUGAUCAAGUGUAAUUUGACAACGGGCCCCAGUGAUCAAGAAUGUUUUAUUGUGGACCACUACUAUCAGACCCGAUACUUUUGAGUAUACUGCCAGGGAUAAAUCAGUUGAUGUUCGCUAGGGUGUGGAGUCAUGUAUUGUUGAAGUUCUUAGAGUCUAUGGACACAAGGCAUUAUGUGAACCUUUUUAAAAACAUUUGUUCUAAUUUUCUUGAUGACAAUGAUGACAUGGAAUAUCACCACAUUUUUCCUUCUAAUUUUGCAUACUACCAAAUGUAUGAAGGAUGUGAAGGGACCUUCUUUGACAAUUGUACUUGAGUGUAAGCCAUCUAGAGUGAUUGAAGAAUUUUCAGAUUCUACAAGAGUGAUUGUGUUGGUGAUUCGACUUCUAAGUCUACUAGAAGAAUGGAAAGCUAGUAUCAAAUGUUGGCAAUGAGUGUAGACAUAGCUAUAAGAUGACUUCAAUGGUGUGCUCUUCUCUCUAGUUGAGUGAUUGCUCUAGUGGUCUGACUUUCAAGUCUACCAUGAAGAGUGGAAAGCUAGUAUCAAAUGUUGGCAAUGAGUGUAGACCUGGUAGUAAGAUGACAUCAAUGGUGUGAUUUUCUCCCUAGUUGAAGAUAGGGAGAAACUUAUUCCUCGAAGAUUUAAAUUUGAGGAGGUAGGAGCUGGAGAAAAUAGAUGAAACUACUGUAAACAAUGUCUUGGAGAAGUCUCUUUAGAACUUAUACCAAGUGGUACAAGUAUUUGCCCUUCAACCAGUAUGGAAGGAGUAUGCACUUUUUUGUGUGACUAUCUUCUUGCUAUUAUGUUAUAUAUUUUCCUUUAUUAAGUUUUUUUUACUAAUUUUUUGUUGAAUUUUCUAUGGCAUGGAUAACCUUAGCAAGGAAAAGAAGUUGUACGUUAGUUUAUUUCUUUAUAUGGGGAAAAGCUGCCAACAUUAGGUUCCUUCUAGAGUGUGUUACAUAUUUCAUUGUGUAGGUUGAUUCAAUCAAUUACAAGUUAUUCUUGUAAGAAAUACAACUUCACUAGAAACAAAAUCAUUGUGUUGUCAUGCUCAACUGGUCUCUACCAACUUAGUUUUAAGUAUGUCUAUAAUUCUUCUAUGUUCAUGUUGGAUGCAUUAGGUUUUCAUAUUCAUUGUGUUGAUUGCAUGGAUCUUUUCACUAUUAAGCAAACUAAGGGUCCUAUAUUCCUUUUGUGAAAGUUGUCUCUUUAUUUAUUCUAGACUAAAAUAAGUGAAUAAUCACUUAUUUAAAUUAAUUGACACUUCUCGAAUGUUCACAUAUCUUUGUCAAAUUGGAUAUGCCCCCAUUCAUUAAGGCUACUUAUGCAUGACGGGUGUUGCACUAGUAAUUUCAUAGCUGACUCACCAAACAAUAAGCAUUCAUAAUAUCAUGAUAUAUUCUGAUUAGUGUAACCAUCAUGUUGUGCUUGUGUUCUUUUUUGAGAGAGUAUUUCUUAUGUUGUUAAGGUGGAAGUGUGGCCUUUUCUAGCAAAGUAUUUUUUUUAUAAUGAAUAUGUGUCUUCUGUAAGUUAUUUUGUUAUCUUUGGCCAAUCUUUAAAUGCAACUUUUUCUUAUGCAAAGAACAUAUGCCCUAUUAGAUUUGUAAUGUUUUUUAAUUGAAGUACUUACAUUAGAGUUUCUGGAAACUGUGUUCAUGAUCUUGGUUUAGGUUAACAAUGAAUAUUUUGUUUCAGUAUCAUUAUGCUUUUGUUGCCUUUUCUUGUUGCUAAUCUGACAUUACAAUUCUUUCCCCAUAUGCAGGCUCACAAGGAAAAUGUUAUUUGUCCUAACAAACACCGGUUACACACAGUUUCCUCUUCCAACAGAUAUAUUUGAUACAUGGCGCAAAUGUGCUUUUGGUUAAGUUACUUUUAAAUUCCAAGCCUUUUUUUUUUUAUAAGUAAAAAAAUAUAUAUCAAAGCAAGAUCAAGGUACAAUACCCAAAAAUUAGUAGCAGCUCAUCUUUGACAUAAUGUUAGAUAAAAAAUACUCCCAAACUCCAACAAUCAUGAAUUUGUGCAUUUUUAAAAAAUUUCUCACUCUUUGACUAUCCCUUAUCAAAGAUGCAACUGUUCCUAGAUCUCCAUGCAAAGUGUAUCACAGCCGACAUCAAAGGUGUCUGGCUUUAGUCAAGAGACGACUUCCUUUGAAGACAUGCCUAAAGACUUAGAGCAUCCACAGACAACAUUUGGGUUACACAAGAUUAUCGUAGCAUCAAGGAUGUCGGUGGGCUGCCAUGGCAAAAUUUGGGUUACGUGGCAAAAUUUUGAUGUUGCAUUUAAAUUUAUCAAUUUAAUUUAAUUUUGAGUAACAGAGUGUGAUUGCAUCAAUUUGGUAUUAAUGCCAAUCUUAUUUGCCUAGUUUUGCUCAAUAAAGUCAAAUAGUCUAAACCGUUCAACAUGUCGUUUGGAUAAAUUAUUGAAACUUAAUAUAGGUAAUCUAUUCUAUGUAAUUGUAUUAAUAAUGUCAAUGAGUGUGUACAUUAUAGACCCCUUGACAUGCCACAAAACUUAUUAAGAUAAAUUGAAAUAAUAUUUAUUAUUUUUUUUGUAGCUUUUAAUAUCAACAUUGUAGUGUUGCAGGUAGAACAUAAAAUCCGAAAUUUGGCAUAUAGUUGUGUUAUAUUCUUCUUUUUUUUUUUUAUCUCCUUCAUCGUACCCCUCCAAUUCUCCAUUAGUGUUGUAGGUUGAAACAUCAACACAAUACUGAAAUAUUAUGGUUCUAGCGAAAGUAUGAAACUCUCGACACAGCUAUUGAUUAGAUUGACUUGAAGUAGUCCUUGGGCAUCAUAUAGUAUAGCCAAGAUGGAGGAUAUAUAUGAUUAAAAAAUUUGUGUUUUGGCUGCCAAAUAUUGUCUAGAUCUUCAUUUACAUAAUUGUACUCUCUUAAAUUGCAAUUGCAUAGUAAUAUGAGGUAAAUGAAUACUUCUAUUUACUUCAUCUGUUUAGCUUUGCUUGAAGUUUUUAGAUUCAUUAAAACUGACAAAAGUUUAUUUUAAUAAGCCAAAAUUGAAUUCUCGAUUUGAAUGAAACUAUACCUUUUCUUCUUAUAUGCAUUUGCAUCAUUAUUCCUACCCAGUUUUGUUGCCUAUUCUAAAAUUUCUUUUUUAAAAAAAUUUUAUUUACUCACAUUUUAUUGGAUUCUUUUUUUUUUUAAAUCAUUAGUUUCAAUGAUAAAAUAAGUGAUGCAGUUUUAGGUGGAUCACCAUUUGAUCAUCCACUUCAGCAAGGGUUUGUUAUUGGUUUAUCAUUGGAAGUAACUCUUGCUUAACUUUGCAUUUCCUUCUCAAUUUAUUAUUUUUACAUUGUUGUUUUAUAGCUAUAACUAUAACUAUGCCAAUUCCAGUGCUAGUGUUGGUGGUCAUGCUAGCCAAGUUAGUCCAUUCAAAUUGGUUAACUUAUGCUACAACUGAUGCUAGGUGCUUCAAAACUGAUUUUGAUACAUGAACAUUCCUUAGUAGGAUUGUCCUCAAUUUGAAAUACUAUUCCAUUGGACAUCAAGCUCACAAACUUGCUAACUUUGGUAUCGUUAACAAAGGAAGUUUAACAAAGUAGCCACCUAAUGAGGCUCUUGAAUUUUCUUCUAGUCAACAUGAAAUGGGUUAAUCCCCUCAUUUGUCUUAGUUAGCAUGAACUAACUAAUUGAAAUUUCACUUCAUUAGGAAAGAAAAAGGGUAGCCUAAUGCACGAAGCUCCCGCCAAUGUGAGGUAUUGGCGGUCUCAGGGAAGGAUGUAUUGUACGUAGUCUUAUCUUACGUUGCAAGAGGCUGUUUUAGCGACUUGAACCCAUGACCUCUUGGUCAUAUUGCAAUAACUUCAUUAGGAAAUAGUUCAAUAAAAUAACAUUUUAAUCACCUAUUCUCCUUGCAUAGUAUAAUCCCUAAAUCUGCAAUGGUUUGUUUGAAUUUAUUGAGAAAAAUAGUAUUUCAAUGAAUUGGAACCUCAAAAACCCAAUUAGCAUUGACUACCAUGACAGUAUUGACUUUAAUCAACUUGAAGAACCCAUUUGGACUAUUACCUAUUCUUAGCUAGAUAUCAAAGAUAUGUUAGUUGUAGAAACAAUAUAUUUUUGAGUUUUCACUUUACCUUAAUUAGUAAAUACUAAAUACUACUAUUGUUUUGUACCUUUGAACUUUGGUACAAAGUAACGAAUGUAUCAGUAGGUGUUGUUUGAGAAGUUCAAUUGAAGAGUAAUAUCACAAGGUUAAUCCAUGAAAAAAUGUUAAUUAUAAACUAUAUGGAUAGUUUCUAUCUUGAAACCUCCAUUUAUUUUUUGCCUUAAGCAUAUACAUGUUGUACAAAUAUGAUAUUAUUUUUUUCCCUUUUAAACCUAAUGGAUGUGACCAUGGUGACAAAUCUAUCUCGGAUGAUAUGCUGUCAUCUUCUACAGAUCACAUAGUUUCCUUCUUUAUUUAUUGAUAUCGUAUGUGUUUGAAAUCUCACUUUUAGUAGGCUUCCUUGUUCCUUCCAACCUUUUAUUGCUUGAGGUUGAUACUUGGGUAGGACUAACUUGGGAACUAUGCAAUGCAAUAAAUAAUAGGAUGAGAAGGAUAAUGCCAAACUUGAAGGGUAGCCUAGAUGCUGACAUCCUUGUAUUUCUAUGUGAAGGGACUCCUUGUUUUCUUCUAAGGUUUUUUUAUGGUUCAUGUUUUGUUCCAAGGUUGCAUCCUUUAAAGAGUUGUCACUGGUUCUGAUAUCCUGUUUCUUAAGAAAUGACAAAGGUUUAUCAAGGUACACAGUAGACCCACCAUGGCCUAUAACAACAAACUAUUAUUUAUAUAACAAUUAACCUCAUAGAUCCUGUAACUUAUACUAUAUCAACAACCUUUUCUCAAUUAGGUUGUAAGUAAUUCUAAAAAAAACUACUAGAUUUUUGAAGUAGCCUAGUGCAGGACUUUGUUUUACCAAGUAACUACUGAAAAUAAUAUUGCAAGGAGGUUUACCUUGACUUUAAAUGCUAAGGAUAGAAAACAAGUCUCAGAUUUCAAGAUAAAUCUAAGGCUCUAUAAAUAAUUUGAUGAAAUCAACUUUUGCUCUGACUAUUAUGUUUAUAAUACUCAUGACUUGUAAUUACUAAGUUACUUUUAUAUUUUUGUAAGUAUUUGAUCCAACUAAUGAUGUUGCUUUAUUUUUGAAGGUUGGAUUAGCUGCUAUCCUAAAGGGCUUUGUCCUAACAUGUCAAGAUGGAACAACAUAGCUCUCUAUGUCCUUGCACUAAGUAUAGUAACAUGAUAUGUUAACUUUAUGUUCUAUAAUGUGCUAAAUUCCUGAUUAAAAAGUUUUUUUUAUAAAUGUUUUCAGUUUCAAGCAUAGUUUUAAGCAUGGCCAGUAUCAAUGUUUGUACAGAGUAGUAUGGCUGAGGAAUACUAAUGCUUCUGGGCUUUGGUGACAUUGAUCCCAGACAAUUUUACUAGAAUCGAUCUCUCUGACAUAUACAUUGCAAUUUUUCAUUCCUAUGCUUCAUAUGCAAAUCAAACAAGAAAGAGAUAGACCAAUGAAGACUUCAUUAGCUACGAUAAAAUAAGAUAAAAUUUAUUUAAAUAUACACGAUAAUAUAGUAGGAGAUAGAUCCCCAUGGUGUAAAAGCAUUCAUAUAGCAGACCCACCUAGUGGGAUAAUACUUGGAUGUUGUUGUAUGCUUCAUUUUGUUGAUGUAUAAUUCUUCACAU